CCAAGACAAGAGCUGUGGCGUCUACUUCUAAAAAUCAUGGCACUGCAAGGACAAACCAAGGAACAGACAACAACAGCAAUAAAGUUUUCCGGAAAAAGAUUAAUUCAGUAUAUUUCUUGAGAUAUGGUUGGUUUCAUUUAAUUUUCGUUAUACAAUUUUUUUUGUUCCCAUGCGUCCGCUUUGUUGACUUACAAUUUGUCCAUUUGAUCCCCUAAUUUUUUAGUUUCCUGUCAUUCUGAAUGUUCUGUUCUUAAAUUUGUUUUCUCCUUUUUGCAUAAUUUCAGUGUUGAUGUAAUAAAAUGACCUAGAAUAAUAUUACAAUGAUUGCAACAAGA